GGGAAAGGAACCACUAAGAUAACAAGCCUGCAGAAAUGAGCUCUGCUUCUAGGCCGAAGAGGGAAAGAUCGCUUGAGACUCUCAGUCCUGCGGACACAGGGUGCCAUUAUGAGAGCUGAAUGCUGGACUGGCCUUUGGGCUACAAAGACUCUGCAGCCACUUCUGCAGGAGGCUGUGGGAAAUUGCUCCCCCCAAUGAAUCUGGUAGAGAAAAUUUGGGGGGAAAUAGAAUCGUAUAAAACCAACUCCUCAGUCCUGUACUUCAGAAGUCACUAUAGCUCAUCAUGGAGAGAACGCUUUUCUUGGCUGCUGUUCUGAAUAGCAUUAAAGAAGCUAUAACAAAUGGGCAUGAGACACUGGACUACGAGAAGGACG